AUGUCAUAUAGGAGCAACAACCCUGAGAUCUCACCGCUUGCUUCUAGUAAUCAUAUGCAGGGAAUUAGGUACAAUGAGGAGAGCAACAACUAUGCUCCACAACAGAUUUAUUCACCUCCUACUCAUAUACCGCAGCACCAGGAGAUGUGUCCAAUGGAGUUAAAUGGUCCUCCACUUGGUCAACCAACAACUCCUACACCUGUUGUGCAAUCUCAUGUGCAAGUGCCCACACAAGAUGAGUUCGAUGACAUAGACAAGCUCACACUUUUGAGUCUUGAGUUCACUUGGAGUUCCGAGGAUGAUCCUAUUAGGAAGGUGAUACUUGAGGAAAUGAGGAAGAUUAAGAGUGGAAAGGAGCUAGUGGAAGAAGUAAGGAAGAUUGAGAAGAACAUCAACGCUGGAAGUACUAUCUCUUCCCUCCUUGAGCUGAGUGUUCCGGGAUAUCCCUUGAGGCAUGUGAGGUUCCAAUACCAUCACAUCUAG
rnacentral:rRNA from 1 species